rnacentral:rRNA from 1 species
UACGUAGGGCGCAAGCGUUAUCCGGAAUUAUUGGGCGUAAAGAGCUCGUAGGCGGUUUGUCGCGUCUGCCGUGAAAGUCCGGGGCUCAACUCCGGAUCUGCGGUGGGUACGGGCAGACUAGAGUGAUGUAGGGGAGACUGGAAUUCCAGGUGUAGCGGUGAAAAUGCGUAGAUAUCUGGAGGAACACCGGUGGCGAAGGCGGCGAUCCUGGACCAAUACUGACGCUGAGGAGCGAAAGCCAGGGAGCAAACGGG